UACGUAGGGUCCGAGCGUUGUCCGGAAUUACUGGGCGUAAAGCGCGCGCAGGCGGCCCGCGAGGUGUCACGUGAAAGCCCCGGGCUCAACCCGGGAGGGUCGUGGCAAACCGGCGGGCUUGAGGCCGGUAGAGGUGGGUGGAACUCCUGGUGGAGUGGUGAAAUGCGUAGAGAUCAGGAAGAACACCCGUGGCGAAGGCGGCCCACUGGGCCGGUACUGACGCUGAGGCGCGAAAGCGUGGGGAGCAACCAGG
rnacentral:rRNA from 1 species